AAAUUGAAGAGUUUGAUCAUGGCUCAGAUUGAACGCUGGCGGCAGGCCUAACACAUGCAAGUCGAACGGUAGCACAGAGAGCUUGCUCUCGGGUGACGAGUGGCGGACGGGUGAGUAAUGUCUGGGAAACUGCCUGAUGGAGGGGGAUAACUACUGGAAACGGUGGCUAAUACCGCAUAACGUCGCAAGACCAAAGAGGGGGACCUUCGGGCCUCUUGCCAUCAGAUGUGCCCAGAUGGGAUUAGCUUGUUGGUGAGGUAACGGCUCACCAAGGCGACGAU
rnacentral:rRNA from 1 species